rnacentral:rRNA from 1 species
GAUGAACGCUGACAGAAUGCUUAACACAUGCAAGUCUACUUGAACUUCGGUUUGGGUGGCGGACGGGUGAGUAACGCGUAAAGAACUUGCCUCACAGAUAGGGACAACAUUUGGAAACGAAUGCUAAUACCUGAUAUUAUGAUUUUAGGGCAUCCUAGAAUUAUGAAAGCUAUAUGCACUGUGAGAGAGCUUUGCGUCCCAUUAGCUAGUCGGAGAGGUAACGGCUCACCAAGGCGAUGAUGGGUAGCCGGCCUGAGAGGGUGAUCGGCCACAAGGGGACUGAGACACGGCCCUUACUCCUACGGGAGGCAGCAGUGGGGAAUAUUGGACAAUGGACCAAGAGUCUGAUCCAGCAAUUCUGUGUGCACGAUGAAGUUUUUCGGAAUGUAAAGUGCUUUCAGUUGGGAAGAAAAAAAUGACGGUACCAACAGAAGAAGAGACGGCUAAAUACGUG